rnacentral:rRNA from 1 species
AACGCGAAGAACCUUACCUGGGUUCGAAAUGCAGGUGUAAGCCUCAGAGAUGAGGUCCCCUCUUCGGAGGCACCUGUAUAGGUGCUGCAUGGCUGUCGUCAGCUCGUGUCGUGAGAUGUUGGGUUAAGUCCCGCAACGAGCGCAACCCUUGUCCAUAGUUGCUAACGGGUAGUGCCGAGAACUCUAUGGAGACUGCCGGUGAUAAACCGGAGGAAGGUGGGGAUGACGUCAAGUCCUCAUGGCCUUUAUGUCCAGGGCUACACACGUGCUACAAUGGGCGGUACAAAGAGCUGCGAUCCCGCAAGGGGGAGCUAAUCUCAAAAAGCCGCUCUCAGUUCGGAUUGUUCUCUGCAACUCGAGAGCAUGAAGCUGGAAUCGCUAGUAAUCGCGGAUCAGCACGCCGCGGUGAAUACGUUCCCGGGCCUUGUACACACCGCUACAGU